UACGGGGGGGGCAAGCGUUGUUCGGAAUUACUGGGCGUAAAGGGCGCGUAGGCGGCUUUGUAAGUCGGGGGUGAAAGCCUGUGGCUCAACCACAGAAUUGCCUUCGAUACUGCAUGGCUUGAGACCGGAAGAGGUAAGUGGAACUGCGAGUGUAGAGGUGAAAUUCGUAGAUAUUCGCAAGAACACCAGUGGCGAAGGCGGCUUACUGGUCCGGUUCUGACGCUGAGGCGCGAAGGCUGGGGUAGCGAACAGG
rnacentral:rRNA from 1 species